UACAGAGGGGGCAAGCGUUGUUCGGAAUUACUGGGCGUAAAGCGCACGUAGGCGGCUUUCUAAGUCGGGGGUGAAAUCCUGGAGCUCAACUCCAGAACUGCCUUUGAUACUGCAAGUCUCGAGUCCGAUAGAGGUGGGUGGAAUUCCUAGUGUAGAGGUGAAAUUCGUAGAUAUUAGGAAGAACACCGGUGGCGAAGGCGGCCCACUGGAUCGGUACUGACGCUGAGGUGCGAAAGCGUGGGGAGCAAACAGG
rnacentral:rRNA from 1 species